GAAGCAUCGAAGCGCGGCAGCCAUGUUCAGCGUGGCAUUUCGGAAGGCUUGUCAGGGGUGGAGAAGCGGGGCGGGUUGCUGUUCUUUCACCUGACACUAAAGCGCCAUGCCGGAAGCACUGAGUCUGAUACGUCGGAACCAGUCUCCACCGUGUGGUUUGGUCUUGAUUUCCACUGGUACUCUGGGGUCUUGGAUAAGUCUCUGGACCUCGCCUUUGUCAUUUGCGAAGUCGAUAGGUUCCAAUAGAGAUUUUCCCAGAAUCAUUCAACUAAAAAUAGAGAACUUUUUUUUUUUGAGAGGAAGGACGGGGGCGCAGUUAAAGAUGUUAAUGUUAAGUCAUCCCUUCUGUGAUUUCGGGACAUUAUCUUUGCACGCCAUGUGAAGAUGUGCUUGCUUCCUUGUCACCUUCCGCCAUGAUUGUAAGUUUCCUGAGGCCUCCCAGGAAGCAGAAGCCUGUACAGCCCACAGAACCAUGACCUGAUGAAAUCUCUUUUCUUUAUAAAUUACCCAGUCUCAGAUCUUGCUAUGCUUGUCAUUGUGUAAGCAGCAAACUUGCAGUGACCAGUUGGAUUCCACCCCCCUGAUGUUGGUGGUGUGCUCUUGGGGAGAUGUCUUCCAGACAGGCAAAGAAGAGUGACAUCAUCAGAGCAUGGACGACCUCAAAGAUAUUCCAGCUAUGCUCCAGAGAGAGCCAUCCUGAUGGAACCUACUGACCAGGGGGACACAAAAGAAAAGAGGGAGGAGAUGAAAGAAGAGGAAACAAAAGGAGGGUGUUAGAGGAAAAAGAGGGAAACCCACUGACAGAGAGGAAGGCUGAAGAGAUCCCACCGCUGACUUGGACUAAGGAGAGAGAAGUCAAAGAGUGGUUACCUGGAUGAGGUGGCUGAAUAUGGGCCUGCUCUUGUCACUUUGGAUGUCACAACUAGCCUUGAGAAGAGCUGCUGUUCCAGGAGUCUGUCACAACUAGCCUUGAGAAGAGCUGCUGUUCCAGGAGUCUGUAGCCAAGGACGUACAGCAGUGGAGGCUGACUCAUCGCAUAGCUGAGUGACCAAUUGCUUGGCAUGAGUUUACUUUAAUGGCUGUUUCUGAGUUUGAUCCCUCUCCGGAACCAACCCCUCUGAUGUGUCCUGUUCCAGCAGGAAGAGACAGACCUGGAGGUUCUGUACUUGUGAUUUCUGGUUGUGGAUCCUGAGAACAAGAAGUACUGGGAUCCUAAAGUUCUGACAUUUGCAAAGCAGAUUAAUGACCUACCACAUUCCAGAUCAUUUGGUGAUUUUGUGUGUGCGUGUGGGUGUGUGUGUGUGUGUGCCAAAUUCAAGGUGGUCCCAGCCUUUCUAGUCUUCUCUAACCUUUCUUCUCAGAAGUCGCACCUGUUCUGUCUUUCUAGGAUAUAAUUUUUUUUCUAUUAGCCUGGGUAACACCCCAACCAAUAAAGUUUGCAAUAUCCAAGCCUCCUAAUUUCUCUACUUAUUAGCUUAUAUUAAGCUUCAGCAUGAGCAAGCCUAAAAACUCGCCAUUAUCUGGAAAAGUUCUAUUUCACAGGCUUUAAUCUCUCCUAGAGUAGUUAGCACUCUUUUGUGGCUUUGUGUUCCUGUACUAGCUUGAAUUCCACAGUCUGACGUUAAUAAUUAGCUCCUUAACACGUCCAUCCUCUCUUGAUGUCCUGCUCUCUAUUUUUCCUUCUUUCUUCCAAGUUGGGAUAAAUUCAGCUUCUUAUUUUCCUGCUCCAGACCUUGGUUGUGGAGAAAGAUAGAAAAAGUUCCAUACAGGGGACUCUGUGAUCCUGCUAACAUCAUUAUUUACCUAAGCUCUUUAGACUCCAGUGAAAGCUUCUGAUUUAAUGUCAUGUCCCUACUUUAUGCCACAUGUCCCAUACCAUUUUCUUUGUUUUAUGCAAUUUAUUUCCACUAUCUGAUCCCAUUCCACCCACAUGACUUUGAGUGGAAAACUUCAUCUCUUCAUUGCUGAGUAAACAAACUUCAGGAUGAACAAGCCCUGUCCACUAUUUUCCCUUUUACUUUAAAAUUCUGGAAUUUUUAUGAUCUACGUUUUUUUCCUCUGUUUUUAUUCUUCACUCCAUAUCAACUUACUUGGGGAUCUACACCUUCAUUCAUUCUUUUCAUUCUGUCGGCACCUGGCUAUGGAGUUUACAUUUCUCAUCAUAUUUACUCCUCAUAAUAAUCCUGUGAGGUAUAUACCACUCUGAGUCUUGUAUAAGAGAAAAAGAAACUGAGAUAGGGAUAACUCAAAGGGAUAAUUCAUUUGCUGGAGCUACCAACUAGCUACUAACCAUGCUAGAAUGGACAGAGAUGACAUUCAUGCCAAAGACCAUGUUGACUUGCUAUCUCUACAUUUGCUCUAAGUUUAGAAAAAAAAAAUCCCUUCAAUUUAUCCUCCAACAGUCUUCUUAGAACCUUACCAUGGAUGCCUUG
ensembl:lncRNA FBXO38-DT FBXO38 divergent transcript